CUGGAGGGGCAGGGCGGGGUGGGAGGGGCAGGGCAGGGUGGGAGGGGCGAGGACGGAGGGGAGGGGAGGAGAUGGAAGGGAGGGCGGGGCGGGGAUGGAGGAGAAGGGUGGAGCAGGGAGAGGCGGAGGGGCGAAAAGAGGAUGAAGGGGAGAGGAGAGGCGGGAUGAUCCCCCGCAGCUCUGAACGCCCGGCCUGCCUGUGCUUCGUGCGUUGCUGGGAGCGCCCCUGCCGGAGGCUCCCGGGCGGGUCGGCGUCCGCUUCCAGAGCCGAGGCCGGUUCUCACCCGGGCGGCCACGCCGCGCGCUGAACGGUUCCCCGCUGUCUCGGCUGAAAUGGGUGGGCAGAUCCUGUGAGCUACUUUUAAGUGCUAUAAUGAGCACCCUGAUUGCCAGCCCUGGGAGCAGCAAUGGCUCCGGGGAGCGGAGGGGGUGUCGUCCGCGCCCAUGUGCCAGGUCUGGACGCACGGAAGCCACAGCGGUGAUGGGCCCAGCGGAUAUUCCUCCGGGUGCGGGGUUGGGAAAUGGCUGGCGGGCCGCUGGACAGGAGCGCUGUCUCCCUGAGAUUUGCGGGGCUCGGGCUUGUGCAGCAGACUCUACGGGCGAACCCAGCCACGGAUGUCUGCAGGCAGCCCUGCGCGCGUGCAGACUCCAGGCAGGAGGCCAUGGCUCCCUCGUUCCUGCUCUGCCUGCGCCCUCACCCACCAGGCCGGCCGGGAUGACUGGGACCGACGGGGCUUUAUGGAAUGCAAAACUUUCGCUCCGCACAGCUGCCAGAAAGAGCUCUCAGAUCUGUGAUAUCGCAGGACCCAGCAUGGUUCUAUAUGCAGUUUGA
ensembl:lncRNA